ACGCUCGACACCUACGGGGAGGCAGCAGUGGGGAAUAUUGCACAAUGGGGGAAACCCUGAUGCAGCGACGCCGCGUGGAGGAAGAAGGUCUUCGGAUUGUAAACUCCUGUUGUUAGGGGAAAAAGAGGAUGGUACCCAACAAGGAAGUGACGGCUAACUACGUGCUAGCAGCCGCGGUAAUCUGAGCGGGCUGGCAAGGC
rnacentral:rRNA from 1 species